GAUAGGGUGGCACAGUGGUUUGUGUACUGAACUACAACUCCGGACUCCAGGGUUCAAAUUCCGACUUGGCCA